rnacentral:rRNA from 1 species
AACGAACGCUGGCGGCAUGCCUAACACAUGCAAGUCGAACGAGAUCUUCGGGUCUAGUGGCGCACGGGUGCGUAACGCGUGGGAAUCUGCCCUUUGGUUCGGAAUAACAGUUGGAAACGACUGCUAAUACCGGAUGAUGACGAAAGUCCAAAGAUUUAUCGCCAGAGGAUGAGCCCGCGUAGGAUUAGCUAGUUGGUGUGGUAAAGGCGCACCAAGGCGACGAUCCUUAGCUGGUCUGAGAGGAUGAACAGCCACACUGGGACUGAGACACGGCCCAGACUCCUACGGGAGGCAGCAGUGGGGAAUAUUGGACAAUGGGCGAAAGCCUGAUCCAGCAAUGCCGCGUGAGUGAUGAAGGCCUUAGGGUUGUAAAGCUCUUUUACCCGGGAUGAUAAUGACAGUACCGGAAGAAUAAGCUCCGGCUAACUCCGUGCCAGCAGCCGCCGUAA